rnacentral:misc_RNA from 1 species
UUCGAGUCACUUUUAGCGCUUAGCUUGCCCGUUAUGCCCAUGUGAACUGUACGCCAAGGUACGCUGGUCUUAGGUAUAGGAUGUAAUUCAGCUUGUAUUUUACCUGAACUAGCUUUCGAAACUUGACAAGCAUGACAGUUCUCUACGAAUUUACGAACGUACUUCGCCAUCCCUUCGAACCAGUAAUACUCGUAUAGUUUCUCGAGCGUUUUCUCCCAACCUAAGUGCAUAAUUGACUGGUGCACAUGGUUAAUAACAGAC